GUCUUCAUAUUGGCAACACACAUUCUAUAUUUGAAGCAAUACACAGAAGAUUAGCCUGGCCCCUAAGCAAAAUGGCAGUCAAAUCCAUAAAUCACUUCAUACUUUU
rnacentral:snRNA from 1 species